rnacentral:lncRNA from 1 species
AAACCAAAGAAAAAGGUUCGGGAGUCACAUUUGACAAAGGGGAAGGCAAGGAUAAAAUCCAAGGCACCCCUUUGACCUAGCCAAGGCUAGUUGCAUGAUUUAAUCAAAGAUUUUCUUGUUUUAACCAAAGAAUUUAUUACAUUUGGAUGCACUAUAUGAAUGCAAACCCUAGACCUAGGGGUAUUGGGGAAAAUUUCUCUUCAAAGGUUGAGUGGUACCAAUCACAUUAAUUGUGAAUCCCAAUAACUAUCCUUUGAAGAAGUCACGAAUAAUGCGAGUGGGAUGCAAAUGAAUGGAAUGCAUGUAUGCAAUGUGAGGACAUGAGUUUGAAAAAGUAAUAAAAGGCAAUAAUAUAUAAGUGAAAAUGUGCACAUGAGUGGGCAAGGUGCGGUGUGUGAAAUGAUAAUAUGAAGUACAUGUGUGCAAGUGAUGAUAAAAGUGUUCGUGUGCAAGUGAAGCAACAUAAAGGUGCACGUGUGCAAAAUGAGGAGGAAAAAAAUGAAAGUGUGAUGGGGGUAUAAAAUGAUAGAGUGGAUUUAAAAAUGCAUGAGCUUAGGGAAUUCAUGCAUAUUGGGUACGGGGAGACCUAAAUCGUGACUCAAUUUGCCAUUUUAUGGAGGGAAUACAAGCGUGCUAAGGCUUAGGAAAAAGCCACACUCGUCUAUAUCCCAUAUUUAAGGGGACUCUCAAGCAAAUGAACCCUAUAACUAGCAUGAGAUGCAAAAGCCCUAAAAUGAAGGGAAAAGGGUUUCGAGGAGUAUGCCAAAUGAUAAACUAAGAAAAAUGCAUGACAUGUAAUGAACACGCAAAUAUGUACUAACGAGGGGAAAUCCCUAAGGGUCUAGUGUUGGACUAGCCCAUUCUAUGAAUUCCUACUAGCGUUGGACUAGCGGAAACGUACAUUCAUCCAUCACAUUCAUUCAUGGCUAUGGAAAGCGAGUAGACAUGCCAAACACUCAUAAAACAUAGCACAUAACAUUUAGCAUGCUCGACUAGAUGCAAGGCCCUAACAAAGCAAAUUAACACAAAGCAACUAAGCAUGCAAGACACAUAAGACAAUUAAAACCCUAACUAUUACAUUUGCUAGUUAGGCACAUGACUUCGACAGGUCUUCAUUGAAUGCUCCUCCAAACCCUAUCUAUUACAUUAGGGAGACCCUACUACAAUCUAAAAGGGGGAAAAGGAAUAAAAUAAUUAAAUCCCUAACUAUUACAAGCCAAGAGGUGUACACAUACCCCAUAAAGAAUAACUUAAACAAAAAAAUAAAAGUAAAUGACAUAAAUAAAAGAAAUUAAAGGAAGGCUAGGAAAGCAAAGUAGACAUGCAUUUCUCACGUAGCACGUUGGUUCACAUAGGAGAGACAAAAAAAGAUAAAAGAAGUUAUACCUCCCUUGAGUUGGAGCUCUAACGUAGUGAAGUUACUAAUGUACCCUCCAAAAUAAUAAAAGGGUCAAGGUACCACAAAUAGUAAAGUAUGACAAAGUCACCAAAGAAAAGGGUGGCUUGGGCUAAGACUAUCAAAACAAAAAGGUAAUAAGACAAAUCGGAAUCCAUCAAACAUUGAAUGUUUCCUCACUUUGCAACUUAGAAAUGACCAAAUAAUGUAUGAAUUCCAAACAAAGGUGGAACAUUGAUCAAAUUUCUAAAAUAGCAAAACGACUAAAGACCCAAUAGCAAUCUUUGAUCAACCAAUCAAGGUUACUUGAAAACAUUUUUAGGAACUUUACAGGUCCAAUGAGCAAGAAAUGGUCAAGUAACCAAUUUAUUUCAGAAAAUUCAAGAAAAUAGGCAACCACAUACUCAUUUAGAUGCCAAGUUUCACAAUCCAUGUAUUAAGCAUCACCUUAGCAAAACAUGAUAACCAAUGAAGGCAAGCAAGCAAUUGAAUUGAAACAUUAGUGCUGCCAAAGACUCAAUUGUGAACACUAACCAAGCAUUCAAGCUUAAUCAAACACUUUUAAGAACUUCAAAAGGUCUGAAGGCAAAGAAAAGGUGGAGGAAUGGUUCCAUUGCAAUCAUCCUAGGAUCUUAUUGCAAGAAACUAGAACAUGCUUGGGCUUUUGUGGAACGUGGAGAAACUUGAAGGGUUAAAUUGAUUAAGUUAUCCAAUUAGUUGGGCCAUAGUAACAUUAAACAUAAAUUAAGGGCUUAGAAUGCAAUUUUUUGAAAGCAUUUUCAUGCAAAAACAUGCAGACAACGUAGAAGCUAAUUUCUGCAGUUGAAAACAUCUACAAACAACAUGAAUGUGCGCUGCAUUUUCAUUUUUCAACCAUAGAUUUCAGAAAAACCAAAACAGACCUCAACCAAACUCUCUCAAACUAAUGUAUAAACUUUGAGUUAAACAAACAACACACAACUUCAACAUCCAAACAAGUAAACUUAAAUAGAAACUGAUGCAAAAUCACGAAGGAAACAUGCAUUUCUGCAAUCUUUCGGCCAAACCAACUAGCUGCAAUUUAUUUUCACUUACGGAUUUCAACCUCAAAACACCAUUUUGAGUAAAACCUUUGCAACCCAACAUCAAACUUUAGUCCAAACAAAACUUAUUUAACAUCUAAACAUGCGAAAGGAAACUCAGGGCAUGAUCAUGAAGUUGUGGUAGUCUUCUCCUUGCUGAUUUUUCAACUACACCAUGCGGCAUUCACAAACCAGAAUAGAUCACCAACAAGCAUCAUCUUUUGAUUUAAACAACCACAAGAUACCAACCCCAAUCACCAACCAAACAAGAAAUUACAUUUUAUUGCAGGAUUGGUGGCUGCCAAAAAUAAAAGAAAUAACAACUAAAGAGAGAAACGAAGCGCUGCAAUUUUCCAGCUACCAUUAGCUACGCUUGCGGGGGAAUUCAUCAGAUGUAAGCACGGCCAGCUUUCCAACCAAACAACAAAGGCAUGAUAUUGAGCAAUCAAAAUCACAGAAAUUGAACAUUCAAGCAAGCAAAUCUUCUGUAAAAAAAAUUCUGUAACCUUCCGGGUUUAGUUCAAAAAAAGAAAGAAAGGUUUCCUGCUGCAAUUUUGUUGCUUAGCCACCUCGCGUGGCAGAUUUUCACAAACCUCAACCCACAAUCCUAACUUUAAGUUCUUAUCAAGCUUGUCAUGCAUGUGGUAUAUGAACUGAACAACAAAUCUCAUAUUUCAAUCACACCAAAAGUUCCAGCAAACAAACAGAGCACGACUUCGACAUCCGGACGGGCUAAGAUGCCGCGCUUCAAACAUACAGACUAUGUAAACGUCUUUCCCUUUCAAAGUUGGGGUCUUGCUACUAAGCUACAGCUUGGGAACAAAAUAAACAACACCCAAACAGAUCUGAAAACCUAACAAAGUUUCUCAUGUAAUUAUAUCAACAAAAGACCGCAGCUUGGUAAAGAAAUAGUUGCUGAAACCAGAUUUUUCCAUACUUGCUGACUCAAAGCCAAGAAAAUAAUCAGAAACAUCAAGUAAAUCCCUAACUCUCAUAGGCAAGGACUUGUUAACAGAGAUUAUCUAUAGGACUAAGCUAAAAGAAACCUUACAAUGCUAUUUCGGUAGAGUUCACGAUGGCAAAAGACUUGAAUAUGGUCUGAAAACACCAAGCUUCCGUAGCUUCCUCCUUGUUCUACGUUUUUUUUCCUUCUCUAGCCGUCAAAGCUCUCGGCUCUCUCUUUUAGUUUUUCCAAAUUUCUUGCUUUCUCCCGUAAACUCUAGCCGCCACCCCCUUGUUUUUACUCUCAGCACUCGCUAGUUUUUCUGGUUUUCUUGUUUCUGAUUUUCCUUCCAGUUUGCAGCCGUCUCCUCUCUUCUUUUCUCUAUCGGACUUUGGUUCAGAUUUUUCCUCCUUCUCCAGCCGUCAACUCCUCAGAUGAAGCCCUUCUUUUGCUUUCCCUUGCUUCAUUUCUCUCACCAAAUCCUCACGGCUCAAACCCUUUCCUUCUUCCUUUUCUUUUUCUUUCGCUGCUAGUUCUCAAUCCUCUUUCUCGGCCCCCUGUUCUAUUUUUCUUCUAAGCCGUCUGCUCUUUUUCUCUUCCACACCAGUUGCGGCUGUCCACUCUCUCCUUUCUCUAUGCCAUCUGUUUUUUUUUUCUCCCUUGCCGGCUGCCUUCUCUUUUCUAUUUAUAUGGGGGCACCACCAACCCUAAACCCUCAAACAAUCUCCCCAUAUUUGCAGCAAAAGGGGCAGCCCAGCCCUUUGUUUGCAAACUGCGGCAAUACGCAGCUUGCAUGCCGCGUUUCCUUUUUUUUUUUUUAAGAUUAAUUAAAUAACAAUAAAAACAAUAAUAAUUCAAACAAAGUUAAAUUUAAAUAAAAUGUACAAAAUUAGCAACCGAAAGAUAAAAAAAAAUAAAUAAAUAAAAAUAAAUAAUAAAAAAAACUAAGAUUUUCCUCUUUUUCUUCUUUUUCCAUUUUCAUUCAUUUUUCCCUUUUUUCUCUUUUUUUUUCUAAGAAAUUCUAUGCUAAAAACUUAAAAAUAAAGUAAAACUAGAAACUAAAAACUAAAAAUAGAAUAAAACUAACACGACAAACAAAUAAACUAAAAAUAAAAAGUAAAUGAAAUUACACCAAAAAUUUGGUGUCUACAGUUUGCCCCUCUUUGUCUGAGUUUUGAAAAAACUUGAGACAAAGAAGUAGACACCAAAUAUUUACCUGCAUUAUUCGGCUGCAAAAUGAUUCCAACGAACAAGAAUUCUAAAAUGGGACUGACCCAAACAUGAAAUUAAAACGGGACUGACCCGAACAGGAAAUUUAAAACGGGACUGACCCGAACAGAAAUUUACAACGGGACUGACCCGAACAGGAAUUUAAAAACAGAUGAAUUGAAGUGAAAUGGAGUGUUGGUGGGAUUGACCCAUGUUUAUUGGUGAUACAAAUGAAAGAAGUGAAAUGAAGUGUUAACGGGACUGACCCAUGUUUGUUAAUAAUGCAAAUGAAAUGCUCGCUAGUGGGACUGACCCACGGCUAGUGGCGAACGAAAAGAAAUGUUCACUAGUGGGACUAACCCACGGCUAGUGGCGAAGAAAAUGCUCACGGGCGGGACAAACCCAGCUCCAAUAGCAAUGAGAAUGAGAUGCUUACUGACGGGACAAACCCAGCUCCAAUAGCAAUAAAAUGCUUUUGACAAUCGGACAGUGGGAUCAAACCCGAGCCAGCCGAGGUCGGAGGGAUAAAACCCGUGCCCAACGAAAGUAAAAGCGGUCAGUGGGAUAAAACCCGAGCCUGCCGAGGUCGGAGGGAUAAAACCCAUGCCCAACGAAAAUAAAGCGGUCAGUGGGAUAAAACCCGAGCCUGCCGAGGUCGGAGGGAUAAAACCCAUGCCCAACGAAAGUAAAAGCGGUCAGUGGGAUAAAACCCGAGUCUGCUGAGGUCGGAGGGAUAAAACCCGUGCCCAACGAAAGUAAAAGCGGUCAGUGGGAUAAAACCAGAGCCUGCCGAGGUCGGAGGGAUAAAACCCAUGCCCAACGAAAAUAAAAGCGGUCAGUGGGAUAAAACCCGAGCCUGCCGAGAUGAACUUGAUUUGAUUUUUGACUUUUUUGAUGAUGAUUUUUUAUUUUUGAUUUGAUUUUGAUUUUGAUUUUUUUUUUGACUUUUUGAGAAUCUUUCCAAAAAAUUAAUUUGCCCCAGUUGGAUGAAUUUUUGCAAUUUGAGUCCAUAGUUGAUUCGGUAUCGCCAUGUUGCUGCACCUUUUGAUCAAAUUUGAUUGCAACAUUUUCAAAUCUGCCUUUAUUCCCCGGAGGCCUCUUUCCAACACCAAUUCCAGUGCGAGGUGUGAUUACUUUCUCCUGUGCAUGCAAUUUUUCUUGUGAAAGAGAAAAAAAAAACAAAGAAAUUGCCACCACCAUUUGAUCCGUUUUCCUUCAAGAAUCGUGUAACAUGAGUCUUUCAAUGCCUUUAUCAACUUUUGCCGCGGCAGCCGAUUGAGUUGGAUUUCUCACCCUGAGGCUUUUCCGAUUUUCAAACUGACCAGGUAUGUGCUUUGCCAUAUUUGUGAAGUCUGUGUAGCUGGCUUGGCUGAAUUUCAACUGUUCCCAAAAGAUGACUGAAUCCAAGCAUACUUUUUGCAAUAAACCACGGGGAUUGUCAUUCACCACAAUUCAAUAAAGAAUGAGGUAUGCAAGAAAUAUUCAUAUGUCAUGUAAAAAUGAAUAUGCACAAGAAUGCACACCUAACCAUUUGUGCUUAAAUUCUACAAAAAUGUCAUGAAUGCAAGUAAUUUGGAAAAAAUGAGUAGUUUCCUAAGAAUGUAUUUGCAAAAGAAUGUUUUACAAAAUGACACAGUUUUGGCCAACGGAUGUCAUAUUCGAAUCUCUGGGUAUCCUUGUUCUGGGAUUCAGUAUUGGCAGAAGUAUGACAAAAAUGAAGAGAAAUCCAUAUGAACCAGGUCGCCAGCCGUUCCUCAUCGUGCUCGCUUACUGCAAAAAACUUACCUUGGCGCCCUUUCGGGUUUUUACCAAAGUUGCCCCCACCCUUUUUGUUUUUGUUUUGUUUUUCCUUCUUUCUUUUUCUUCUUUCUUUUGAGGUGCCCUUUUGGGUUUUUACCUAAGGAAGCAGUGGAAGAGCUCAACCAUAAUCGCCUCAGAAAUGUAAGUUGAAAAAAUGCUGACAUCAGUAAAAUGCGCUUCCCUUAUAGACUUAAGCGAAGGCACCAUGAACAUCACUUGUCAGUUGAUUAGCAAACUUUCCAAUAGAAAUAUAACAAGUGACGAAAGCCAGGACUAUUGGGCUUUUGUAAGGAGGUCAGGUGGGGGUGUUUUCAAGGAAAGUUGAGACUUGAAAGCAGAUUUUAAUGAGAGGUGUAAAAUAACCUGAGAUUGCAUCAUUUUGAAAUUAUCUCCAAUUUUGAACGAAACCGAGGAAAUUUGCCCCAGUUUGAUUGAAUUUCUUUGCAUUUUCAUUGCAUGUUUCUCACUUUUGCAUUUUCCUUCAAAACUAAAUUUGCCCCAGUGUGGGGUUCCUUUUUCCAUUUUUAUUUUUCUUUUUUCUUUUUUUUUUCUUUUUUUUUUCAAAAAUAAAUUUGCCCCAGUGUGGGGUUUGCAAUCCUCAGGGGCUGCCAAACGAAAAUUAUUGUUCUGAUAGCUCAAAGGGGAUGACUAGGGAUGAAAUGUUUUGAUCGAAAAGAAAGAUGGCCUGACUUUUGCCUCGUCUCUUGCAUGAUUUCCUAGAAGGAAUUUGCAUAAUCAAAUAAAGAAUUUCUUACACAUGUCUGAGUUGAUAGGUUGAGAGAAUGCCUGUCCAUCCAUGACUACCCCGCCUGGUAAUACCUUUUGAACACCCAAUGAGCUUUGCCAAUUAGAAGCAAAUUUGCCUUCAACUUCAUCUUUCAUCACUUUAGCACUUUGUUCCCUUCUUCAGAAGAUCGGCGGUGGACUCUUUUGUUAUGAAUCUCAGGCCAUGCGUUUUGACAAUAUUGGCCAUGGUACAUAGCAUUCAACUGUUUUCAUCAAUCAAAAUCAAUCGUUGAUGACACUGCUUUUAACCAAUCAGCUUUCAACCUGAUCGGAAAGGGAUUUUCUUAAAUGAAGAAAUUUCUCAAAUAAAGGGAUUUUUCAAGUAAAGGGAUUUUUCAAAUGAAAGGAUUUUUCAAAUGGAGGUAUUUUCCAAUGUAUGCCUUCCUCAAAGAAAGGAUUUCUCAAUGAGGGGGUUCUUAAUGAAGGGUUUUCUCAAUGAAGACUUUCUCAAAGAAGGGAUUUCUCAAUGAGGGGGUUCUUAAUGAAGGGUUUUCUCAAUGAAGGCUUUCUCAAAGAAGGGAUUUCUCAAUGAGGGGUUUUUUCAAAUGAAGGGAUUUUUCAAUGAAGGAAUUCUCAAUGAAGGGAUCAUCGGAUUCCAGAACAAUGAUAUUCAAAGGGUCAAAUAAUUUCAUCUUUGGCCAUCUCAAAGAAUAAUCAAAUAAACAAAUAAACAAAUUAUGCAUUUCAUGAAACUCCAAAUCAAAGCAGAAACAAGACAAAACUCAAUUGCAAAAGAUACUUUCGUUAAGCUAUUUACAUAUGCAAGAAAAACUUUUCGUGAAUUUUAGUAAAUGACAACCCCUAGAUUCAUCGAAAUUUCCUUCGAGAGGGAGGAUAAUCAGCCAUCCAAAUUGUGCAGAGCUCCUUCAGGAUUUUCAAAUCUCGUCAUUGGAGGUAGAUGCCUCAAAGGUGUCCUUGUGUCUGGGAAAGGGGUUUGUACUUAUACUUGGUCCUUGUUCUUCUCUCCCUCUCAAAAUUAUGUCUCCGGCCUCAAUCAUGUCUUGGAUUUUGUGUUUAAGUACCCGACAAUUGGUAGUAAAAUGUCCAGGAGCUCCGGAAUGAUAGGCACAAAAAGAUUGAGGAUUAUAAUAGGGGGAAAUCCUUUAGCAUAGGCUUUAGGAGGUAUUGUACCAAUUUUUCCUGCGGCCUUGAGCUGCUCAUAUAGUUGAUCCAAGGGCCGACCUAAAUUGGUAAAAGUUCUAUAUCGGGCCGGGUCUUGGGUGCCAGCGAUUUGUUGAUAGUUGUAAUUAUGGUUGACGGGUAAUGUGGGUCUUGGAUGAUAAGGAGAGCGAGGUCUAGUUUGAAAACUAUGUAGAGAAAUAUGAAAUGGUGUUGUAGGUGUGUUUGGGUAAUUUGGUCGAGGUCGAGGAUGAGGGGUAUUAAUGUGAUAAACAUAAUGAGGGUUUGAAUAGUAAGGGUAAGGGUUUGAGUAGGUAGGGUAUUGUCGAGGUCUGGGUAUUGAAACAGGGUUUCGAUUCCAGACAAAAGCAGUUUCCCCUUCUUUCUUUUGGAAUUGUUGCUUCUUCCUAUUACUACCUUGGCUUUGCAAAGCAUCCAACUGUGAUUUGAGGGCAGACACAUUAACAAUCUUUCCAACUUUCACGAAAUCAUCAAAUUCCUCAAGUUUAUUAACAAUUGCGGCAAAUGAGCAUCCAGUCAUGCUGAAAAUUUCUUCAAAGUACGGCGGAUCAUGUGCCUUAAUGAAAGCGCGUAUGAUUUCGUCCUCAGUCAUUGGUGGCUCGACUUUUGCAGCUAUUUUCCUCCAUCUCUUAGCAUAAGUCUUGUGAUCUUCAGAGGGUUUUCUUUUUGUUCCUUCCAGCGUGGUUCGUGUUGGAGCCAGCUCGCAAUUAUACUCGUACUGCUUUACAAAAGCGUUGGACAAGUCAAGCCAGGUCUUCGCUUCUUCGGAUUUCAGCUUGGAAUACCAGUCGAGUGCAUCCCCCUCCAGACUUUCUGGGAAUAGCCUCAAAGGCAGAUUUUCAUCAUCUGUUGGCCUACCCAACUUGUUGGCGAACAAUCGGAGGUGUUUCUUGGGAUUGCCCGUCCCAUCAUACUUGUUAAACUUCGGAGUUUUGAAUCCCUCAGGCAAUUGCACAUUCGGGAAAAGGCAAAACUCAUCGUAAUCCAAGACUCUUUGUUUGUUCAACCCCUGACUUUUCUUUAUAAACUCAUCGAAACGGUCCAAGCGUUUGAGAAGCUUUAUAUCAACGGGAGCGGAAGAUUCCCCAAUUUCUGGCUUGGUUUGAAUAGUAUGGUCUGGUAGGAAUGGCUCAGCAGUAGUGUGAUAAAAGGUAUGUGGCUCAAGUGAUAUGUUUAAAGUAACUUGGGGUUGUGGGCCUUGCAUGUGAGUAGGGAAAAAUGAAGGAUCAGGAGGGUAAGUGUAUGGCAAAUGUAUGGUGGGAUAUGUGAAAGUUCCUUCGGGUGGAAUAGGGAAAGAUGGAUUAUCAGUGACUUGAGUUGAAGGGAUGACAAAUGGCUCUGGCUCUGACUGCCUGUCAGGUACAGGUUCAGGUUGAACUCCGCUGCUGAUUAACUCAUCAAUCAACUUCCUUUGGGUUGCCAUUUCAGAUGCCAUUUCCCCAAAUUUGGCGAGUAAUUCAGUCAACUGAACCCCGGGACUUGUGGCUUCCGGCUGGGUAGUUGCAGGGGUCUUAUCAGACGAUCCUGGCCGAGUACUCAUGUCUACACGAUUCUUUUGGGCUUGACUACGGGAUCGCGUUAUGAUGGGGUUUCGACGAGAAGCUAUGUUUAAAUAUUAUCUGAGAAUUUUUGAAGAUUACCUUUAGAUUUAACCCUCGCUUAGUUAUAAUAAAAAUAAAGAAAAGAAAAGAAAAAGAAAAAGGCAAGAGUUAGUAGAUAUCCAGAAAAUUUGGAUGCAUGUCCUAUGGGGGAACCCUUUUUGUGCCAAGGGUAGGCCUAGCAUGAAAAUGCAAUCCUCCAGAGCAGGCACUAUACCAUACCUGAUGGAUCUGAUCAACUCAUUUAAGUGGAAAAUAAUUUUGAAAAAUUUGGUCAAUUGGAGUGACGAGAGACAUUUGUCAAAAUGAUGUCAACGUCCAAAUGGAUUGAUCACUUUUGAUCGAUAUAAGAGUUUGCAAAAACGCACGGGUUUGACCUUGACGAACUUCCUAUCAAAGAGAUUGGAAUUCGUUGAUCAAAAAUUUUUUUUUAGUGAAGCACGGGUCAAAACCCCAACUGGCUGGAUGCAAUGGAUGGUUUUCUAAAAAAUCGACUAAGUUUCCCAAUUUGAAAUUGACAUUGAAACCCUAAUUGGGCAAAUGGGUUGAAUGAAAUUGACAAUUUAUUUAAAAUCGACCGAAUUACCCUAAAAAGGGAAACGGGUCAAAUGAUUUGAGUGAAAUUUAAAAAUUUACUUAAAAUGACUGAAUCAUCCUAAAAAAGGAAUUUGAUCGAAUGAAAUUGAGAAUUUUAUGCAAAAUGGACCGGAUCGCCCUAAAAGGGUAAAUUGGUCAAAUGAAUCGGACGAAAUUGAUGAUUUAUCGAAAAUCGAUAAAAUUGCCCUAACUAAUCAAAUGAAUUGAAUGAAAUCGGUGAUUUAUUCAAAAAUCGACUAGAUUGCCCUAAAAUGGAUAAACUAGUAAAAUGAAUUCAAAAUCGACUAGGUUGCCCUAAAAAUGGGUGAAUUAGCCAAAUGAAAUGAAGAUUUAUUCAAAAAUCGACCGGAUGACCCUAAAAGGGGUAAAUUGGUCAAAUAAAUUGAUGAUUUAUUCAAAAAUCGACCGGAUGACCCUAAAAAGGGUAAAUUGGUCGAAUGAAUUGAAUGAAAUUGAUGAUUUAAAAAAUGACAGAACAGGUUGGAUGAAAUUGAUAAAUAACUUGAUCAAAUGAAUUGAAUGGAAUUGAUGGUUUAUUCAAAUAUGGGUUGAAUUGUCUACCCAUUGGUAGUUUCAAAAUUUUAUUGCGAUGCAUUAGCCUAUGAGCCUUCUAAAAUCAAAUUUUGGCCUCAAUUUAUUUAUCGUCUCAAUAGGAGGAAUCAUUUGUGAAUUUUCUUCAAAUUAAUGUCCUUUUACGCAAGGGAAUUUUACCAAUUUUGAUAAAAUGGCCAAAAAGUGAUUAUUAGACGCUCAUAUUCCAAAGAUCGCUCUUAUGAAGACGAUUGGAUCCUACCUUACCUUGUGCACUACCCCUUUGGAUGGUACAAAAUGUAAACGUGCAAGUCUCUUUGGAUUAAGUAUCCGAGACACAAGAUAGUUUAUUCCUGACAUGGGAUCUCCUAAAUGGCAUUCCCUUUCUAGGGUUAUGCAUGAUGCCAUUUAUUAAAGCGAUGUAAAUAUGCAAUUCGAAAUGAAACGUGACCUAAGGAACCCUUUAUUUGCUAGGGUAGGGCUAAAAUGGUAUGGCAUUAUUAAUUUAUGAACAAAAUAUACCACAAUUUUCAAAUGUGCAAUAGCCUAUCUACAAGGGUAGGUCCUAAAAGGAGGUCAUGCCAGACCUCUUAUUUCCUAAUGUUUGUGAAUGCAAAAGAUAAGAAACAAGGAAACGUUAGUUCAUAACACGUAAUCACAUAACACGUUGGACAAUAAAGCAACAAAGACAGACAAGGAAAAAAAGGGGUGGGACCCCUCCCCUCGUGAAUAGUGUUUCCUAAUUUAGGGUAAGGUCGACUCUACCCUAGGCAACUCUAAUAUGGAUGCAUGAGGUUGGGGUUCGCUAAUGCAUCUAGAUUCGACAAACUCAGGUCCCCAAGCCUUCAGACUUGGAAACCAAGGGUCAUCACUCCCAAGGUUCCUUGUCUGUGGCUCGAGCGAUUCCCCAGACAUUGCUACGCACACGUCGUGUCACGGCCACAUGUCUGAGUGAAUCUAUCAAAAUCCUCAAUCUUCGACUAAAAGCUAUAGGCUAUUAACCCAAAGCUUAAAGCGGAAGAUUAAGUGACCCCUUGGAUCGUGCUACGCACACGACGUGUCACGAUCACACGUCCAAGUAGGUCGCCUAAAAUCCUAAUAGGGUGGAGUGGCGUGACAAGCCACUAAAAGAAAAAUAAAUGGAGGGUGAAAAAUUAAAGCGUAUGCACGUAUGCUAGUGCUCGUUUGGAGGGGAGGGAUCAAGAACCAACGCGAGGCUCUAAGGUGAUGUCCCCCACCCAAAUGCAAUGCAAAGCGCGGAAUCACAUACAUAAACCAUUCAUCAAUCAAAACAAUCGUACGCCAAAUGAGUAAGUGAGGGAGUUGGUAUGCGUGAAAUGCAAAAAUCCGAAUAAAAGGAAAAAUGCAAUCCUAAACACCCAAAUGUGAUAUAUGAAAAGAUUAAAAGAAGAAAAAGGUUGAUUGAAUCAAAUUUGCUCGGACUCUCGAAUGUCCCCAGUGGAGUCGCCAACUGUCGCGCCCCAUUUUUUUGAUAAAUAAAUAAAUAGAUUAAAAAUGUGUAUUUUUUGAUUCAAUUUGUGAUUGGAAAAUGAAUUGUGAUUUAAAAGAAAAAUGGGUCUAAAUGGGGGUUGAGAAUGCGACGAUUUGACCCAAAAUUAUAGUUUAAAAAGGUGUUUUGAAACAAAAUACGGAGUCGCCACUUGAUAAUGAGUUAAGGUCUACCAAGUCACCUAAAAAAUGUAUUUUUAAAGAAAAAUAGGAAAAAGUAAUGAGAAAACCCUUUUUAAAUGACUCCUAGUCUACAUAAACCAAAGAAAAAGGUUCGGGAGUCACAUUUGACAAAGGGGAAGGCAAGGAUAAAAUCCAAGGCACCCCUUUGACCUAGCCAAGGCUAGUUGCAUGAUUUAAUCAAAGAUUUUCUUGUUUUAACCAAAGAAUUUAUUACAUUUGGAUGCACUACAUGAAUGCAAACCCUAGACCUAGGGGUAUUGGGAGAAAUUUCUCUUCAAAGGUUGAGUGGUACCAAUCACAUUAAUUGUGAAGCCCAAUAACGAUCCUUUGAAGAAG